UGUGUGUGUGUUUAGGAUAG
rnacentral:miRNA from 1 species